ACCCAGCUGGCUCAGUCCGUAGAGCAUCUGACUCUUGAUCUCAGGGUUGUGAGUUCAAGACCCACGUUGGGCA
rnacentral:tRNA from 1 species